AGUCUCAACGAUGAUGCAUACAUGUCCACUAUGGGUGUUGGGUCCAACAAUUCGCAUUGGUCUUAAACCAAUGACAUCCAUUUCGAAGACCAUGAGUUUGAGGUGGACGAGGAGGGUGAGGGAAUUGUCGAGGCGCCGAAAGGAAGAGCGGGCAAUUACUCAACCAACGAUGACAAGUUACUAUGCCAUACUUAUUUGCAAGUGUCGAGGGAUCCAUCCAUUGGUGGUGAUCAAAGUAGAGACGCGUAUUGGGGGCGAAUGAAAGAACACUUUGAUGCUCACAACUUGAGUGGAAUUGACCGCUCCGAGAGAUCACUUCGGUCCCGAUGGUCGACAAUCAACUCGGAUUGUCAAAAGUGUGUGGCCGUACAAAAAGCAGUUGACAAGAUUAACCCAAGUGGCACAAAUGAGGAUGAUCGAGUAAGUGGCAUCUCAUAUAUGUUCAUCAUACUUGUUUUUGGUGACCGAAGUGCUAACUUGUUUUGUUUUUCUUGUAGUACAACAUUGCACAAAACCUGCUCAAAGAAGAGACAAGGACAACCAAGAAGGGGAAGAUCAAGAAAGGCAGGGUCUUUACCUUGCCUCAUUGCUAUGAAGUGUUAA
rnacentral:rRNA from 1 species